UUCUUUAUUCUGCUGUCAAGGAUGCUGCUGCUUACAGCUCUUCUCUCCCCAAGUUCAUUUGGUGCGGUUGACAUUCCUCUGCAGAGUUUGGCUUCCAUCACCCUAGAUAAUGUUGAAAGAGAGCUGAGACCGGUCAAAGGUGUUGACACAGAAGCUGCAAACAUCACCCGCAAUCUUGAAGCAGUUCGAGCUGUGCUUGAGGAUGCUGAGAGCAGACAACUGAAGGAGGACACUGUGAGGCUUUGGCUGAAUGAUCUUACACACCUUUGCUAUGAGAUGGAAGAUGUGUAAGAUGAGAACACUGAAGUUCAAAAAGAAGAAUGGAGAAACAAGAAAAUGGAGGUGAAGAUGGCAUUGUUGCCAAGAAGGAGCAUUUUGCUGCAUUUGGUUACUUACCAGUGAACCAAUGGAUUACGAGUGCAAAGGGUCUUCACAAACAUUUCACAAGCUGUUCUUCCUUUGGUUUACUUUGCUAUCUGUGCUGGAUCUUCUAUCACUCUUAUUGCCCCUCAAGUUCAUUUGGCAAUGGUAAGUCUUGACUGCAGGGCCCCGUUUGGAUGACAGGAAAUCAUGGUAUGGAAUAGAAAUUAAUUUCAUUUUCCAUUUAGAUGUGCCGUUUGGUUGCAAUUAGAGAUAGGAAAGGAAAUAAAAAAUGAGAUUUGACUGGAAAUUGACUCCCUCUUAAAGCCUGAAUAGAAUUACCGAGUUAAGGGUGGUAUUCUAUUUCCAUUUCCCACUGUCAAAGGCAAAAU